rnacentral:rRNA from 1 species
CAGCCGCCGCGGUAAGACAGAGGAUGCAAGCGUUAUCCGGAAUGAUUGGGCGUAAAGCGUCUGUAGGUGGCUUUUCAAGUCCACCGUCAAAUCCCAGGGCUCAACCCUGGACAAGCGGUGGAAACUACCAAGCUGGAGUACGGUAGGGGCAGAUGGAAUUUCCGGUGGAGCGGUGAAAUGCGUAGAUAUAUGGAGGAACACCGGUGGCGAAAGCGGCUCUCUGGUCUGUAACUGACGCUGAGGCUCGAAAGCGUGGGGAGCAAACAGGAUUAGAUACCCGAGUAGUCCCUGUCUCUUAUAC